GGAGUCUGGUCCGUGUCUCAGUGCCAGUGUGGGGGACCUUCCUCUCAGAACCCCUAACGAUCGUUGGCCAGGUGGGCCGUUACCCCGCCUGCUGCCUAAUCGUACGCAUCCCCAUCCAUCGGCGACCGAAGUCUUUCGUGAAAAUCAGAGGCCUUCUUCUCACAACAUCAGGUAUUAGGCUCCCUUUCGGAAGGUUAUUCCUGACCCAUGGGCAGGUUGGAUACGCGUUACUCACCCGUGCGCCGGUCGCCAUCAAAGUUUGCAAGCAAACUUCAUGCUGCCCCUCGACUUGCAUGUGUUAAGCCUGUAGCUAGCGUUCAUC
rnacentral:rRNA from 1 species